GGUUCUGUUCUGUUCAAGUCCUGUGGUUUGGAUGCAGAUCAAUCCAACUAUAGAAGUAGGUGGGACUUUGACUGGAGGAGAACUUAAUUCAUCCAAUCACAGUCCAUAG